rnacentral:rRNA from 1 species
UACGGAGGAUGCGAGCGUUAUCCGGAUUUAUUGGGUUUAAAGGGUGCGCCGGUUGUUUGAUAAGUCAGUGGUGAAAGUCUGUCGCUUAACGGUAGGAUUGCCAUUGAUACUGUUGGACUUGAAUAUGGAUGAGGUAGGCGGAAUGUGUAGUGUAGCGGUGAAAUGCAUAGAUAUUACACAGAACACCGAUUGCGAAGGCAGCUUACUAAUCCAUCAUUGACGCUGAGGCACGAAAGCGUGGGGAUCAAACAGGA